GAUGAACGCUGGCGGCGUGCUUAAUACAUGCAAGUCGAGCGAACAGACGAGGAGCUUGCUCCUCUGACGUUUGCGGCGGACGGGUGUGUAACAUGUGGAUCACCUACCUAUAAGUCUGGGAUAACUACGGGAAACCGGCGCUAAUCCCGGAUAAUAUAUUGCUCCGCAUGGUUGAAUAGUGAAAGACGGUUUUGCUGUCUGUUAUCGAUGGAUCCGCGCCGCAUUAGCUAGUUGGUAAGGUCACGGCUUACCACGGCAACGAUGCGUAAACGACCUGAGAGGGGGGUCGGCCGCACGAGAGCGUGGACACGGUCCAGAGUCCUACGGGACGGAGCAGUAGGGAAUCGUCCGCAGUAGGCGGGAACCUUGCAGAGCGACGCCGCGUGAGAGAUGGAGAUCUUCGGAGCGUAAUACUCGGUUAUGAGGGAAGAACAAAUGUGUAAGGAACUAUGCACGUCUUGACGGUACCGGGUCAGAAAGCCACGGCUAACUACGUG
rnacentral:rRNA from 1 species